rnacentral:rRNA from 1 species
CAGGAUGAACGCUAGCUACAGGCUUAACACAUGCAAGUCGAGGGGCAUCAGGAAGAAAGCUUGCUUUCUUUGCUGGCGACCGGCGCACGGGUGAGUAACACGUAUCCAACCUGCCCUUUACUCGGGGAUAGCCUUUCGAAAGAAAGAUUAAUACCCGAUAGCAUAAUGAUUCCGCAUGGUUUCAUUAUUAAAGGAUUCCGGUAAAGGAUGGGGAUGCGUUCCAUUAGGUUGUUGGUGAGGUAACGGCCCACCAAGCCUUCGAUGGAUAGGGGUUCUGAGAGGAAGGUCCCCCACAUUGGAACUGAGACACGGUCCAAACUCCUACGGGAGGCAGCAGUGAGGAAUAUUGGUCAAUGGGCGCUAGCCUGAACCAGCCAAGUAGCGUGAAGGAUGAAGGCUCUAUGGGUCGUAAACUUCUUUUAUAUAAGAAUAAAGUGCAGUAUGUAUACUGUUUUGUAUGUAUUAUAUGAAUAAGGAUCGGCUAACUCCGUGCCAGCAGCCGCGGUAAUACGGAGGAUCCGAGCGUUAUCCGGAUUUAUUGGGUUUAAAGGGAGCGUAGGUGGACUGGUAAGUCAGUUGUGAAAGUUUGCGGCUCAACCGUAAAAUUGCAGUUGAUACUGUCAGUCUUGAGUACAGUAGAGGUGGGCGGAAUUCGUGGUGUAGCGGUGAAAUGCUUAGAUAUCACGAAGAACUCCGAUUGCGAAGGCAGCUCACUGGACUGCAACUGACACUGAUGCUCGAAAGUGUGGGUAUCAAACAGGAUUAGAUACCCUGGUAGUCCACACAGUAAACGAUGAAUACUCGCUGUUUGCGAUAUACAGUAAGCGGCCAAGCGAAAGCAUUAAGUAUUCCACCUGGGGAGUACGCCGGCAACGGUGAAACUCAAAGGAAUUGACGGGGGCCCGCACAAGCGGAGGAACAUGUGGUUUAAUUCGAUGAUACGCGAGGAACCUUACCCGGGCUUAAAUUGCAGUGGAAUGAUGUGGAAACAUGUCAGUGAGCAAUCACCGCUGUGAAGGUGCUGCAUGGUUGUCGUCAGCUCGUGCCGUGAGGUGUCGGCUUAAGUGCCAUAACGAGCGCAACCCUUAUCUUUAGUUACUAACAGGUUAUGCUGAGGACUCUAGAGAGACUGCCGUCGUAAGAUGUGAGGAAGGUGGGGAUGACGUCAAAUCGGCACGGCCCCUACGUCCGGGGCUACACACGAGUUACAAUGGGGGGUACAGAAGGCAGCUAGCGGGUGACCGUAUGCUAAUCCCAAAAUCCUCUCUCAGUUCGGAUCGAAGUCUGCAACCCGACUUCGUGAAGCUGGAUUCGCUAGUAAUCGCGCAUCAGCCACGGCGCGGUGAAUACGUUCCCGGGCCUUGUCCACACCGCCCGUCAAGCCAUGGGAGCCGGGGGUACCUGAAGUACGUAACCGCAAGGAUCGUCCUAGGGUA